rfam:Enterococcus rivorum strain LMG 25899 72, whole genome shotgun sequence.
AAAAGCUUCUAGUGAUAGAAUCCUGGGUCGUGAGAAGUCAGCCGAAGCCAUAGUAGUGAAGACAAUCGGUGAAAGUCGGUAAGAGCGAAGGGC